UGGGGAAUAUUGCACAAUGGGGGAAACCCUGAUGCAGCGACGCCGCGUGAACGAAGAAGUAUUUCGGUAUGUAAAGUUCUAUCAGCAGGGAAGAUAAUGACGGUACCUGUAGAAUAAGCUCCGGCUAACUACGUGCCAGCAGCCGCGGUAAUACGUAGGGAGCAAGCGUUAUCCGGAUUUAUUGGGUGUAAAGGGUGCGUAGACGGAUAAACAAGUUAGUUGUGAAAUACCUCGGCUUAACUGAGGAACUGCAACUAAAACUAUAUAUCUUGAGUACUGGAGGGGAAAGCGGAAUUCCUAGUGUAGCGGUGAAAUGCGUAGAUAUUAGGAAGAACACCGGUGGCGAAGGCGGCUUUCUGGACAGCAACUGACGUUGAGGCACGAAAGUGUGGGGAGCAAACAGGAUUAGAUACCCUGGUAGU
rnacentral:rRNA from 1 species